UAUAUUAAUUAGUAAAUGUGUAUGUAAUUUAAAUAUAAGUAAAGUAGUAACAAAAAUGUAAAAUAGUAAAAGUGGUGUAAUUCUUUUUGUGAUUAUAAGUGUUUUUUGAAAUAUUUUAUUGUGAUUAUAAUUCUUUUUGAGAUGGAAUAUGCUCAUAUUUAGAUACCAAAAUGAAGUAGAGAUACCAAUAUUGUUGAACGGUUAAGAUUGUCUACUUUGAAUGGUAAACCCGAUUAGGUAUUUGAAUUCGUGAUUAAGAGAUCACUACUCCUAACCCACCCGAAAUUAAAAACGUUGAUCCUACAAGCUUUAAUAGAUUGAGUUGAUAUGCACAUCCAUUCUUUAUGCACCUCUGUUUCUUCCUUAUGUUUUGUUUGGUUUGGUUUCUUUAUUAAAGUCGAGACUGUUUAGUAUGCCAAAAAAAAA
rnacentral:sRNA from 1 species